rnacentral:rRNA from 1 species
CCUACGGGUGGCUGCAGUGGGGAAUAUUGCACAAUGGGCGCAAGCCUGAUGCAGCCAUGCCGCGUGUGUGAAGAAGGCCUUCGGGUUGUAAAGCACUUUCAGCGGGGAGGAAGGCGUUAAGGUUAAUAACCUUGUCGAUUGACGUUACCCGCAGAAGAAGCACCGGCUAACUCCGUGCCAGCAGCCGCGGUAAUACGGAGGGUGCAAGCGUUAAUCGGAAUUACUGGGCGUAAAGCGCACGCAGGCGGUCUGUCAAGUCGGAUGUGAAAUCCCCGGGCUCAACCUGGGAACUGCAUUCGAAACUGGCAGGCUAGAGUCUUGUAGAGGGGGGUAGAAUUCCAGGUGUAGCGGUGAAAUGCGUUGAGAUCUGGAGGAAUACCGGUGGCGAAGGCGGCCCCCUGGACAAAGACUGACGCUCAGGUGCGAAAGCGUGGGGAGCAAACAGGAUUAGAUACCCUAGUAGUC